rnacentral:rRNA from 1 species
AGAGUUUGAUCCUGGCUCAGAUUGAACGCUAGCGGCAUGCUUUACACAUGCAAGUCGAACGGCAGCGCGGGGCAACCUGGCGGCGAGUGGCGAACGGGUGAGUAAUACAUCGGAACGUGCCCUGUGAUGGGGGAUAACUACGCGAAAGCGUAGCUAAUACCGCAUACGACCCAAGGGUGAAAGUGGGGGAUCGCAAGACCUCACGUCAUAGGAGCGGCCGAUGGCGGAUUAGCUAGUUGGUGGGGUAAAGGCUUACCAAGGCGACGAUCCGUAGCUGGUCUGAGAGGACGACCAGCCACACUGGGACUGAGACACGGCCCAGACUCCUACGGGAGGCAGCAGUGGGGAAUCUUGGACAAUGGGCGCAAGCCUGAUCCAGCAAUGCCGCGUGUGGGAUGAAGGCCUUCGGGUUGUAAACCACUUUUGGCGGGGGCGAAAUAUCGAGUGCUAAUACCAUUCGGUGAUGACGGUACCCGCAGAAUAAGCACCGGCUAACUACGUGCCAGCAGCCGCGGUAAUACGUAGGGUGCAAGCGUUAAUCGGAAUUACUGGGCGUAAAGCGUGCGCAGGCGGUUAGGUAAGACAGAUGUGAAAUUCCCGGGCUCAACCUGGGAACUGCAUUUGUGACUGCCUGACUAGAGUGCGGCAGAGGGAAGUGGAAUUCCGCGUGUAGCAGUGAAAUGCGUAGAUAUGCGGAGGAACACCGAUGGCGAAGGCAACUCCCUGGGCCUGCACUGACGCUCAUGCACGAAAGCGUGGGAGCAAACAGGAUUAGAUACCCUGGUAGUCG